UACGGAAGGCAGCAGGGGGAAUAUUGCACAAUGGGCGAAAGCCUGAUGCAGCUAUGCCGCGUGUAUGAAGAAGGCCUUAGGGUUGUAAAGUACUUUCAUCGGGGAGGAAAAACAAAACUAAUAAUUUUAUUUCUUGACGUUACCCGAAAAAGAAGCACCGGCUAACUCCGUGCCAGCAGCCGCGGUAAUACGGAGGGUGCUAGCGUUAAUCAGAAUUACUGGGCGUAAAGAGCACGUAGGUGGUUUUUUUAAGUCAGAUGUGAAAUCCCUGGGCUUAACCUAGGAACUGCAUUUUGAAACUGAAAUACUAGAGUAUCGUAGAGGGAGGUAGAAUUCUAGGUGUAGCGGUGAAAUGCGUAGAUAUCUGGAGGAAUACCUGUGGCGAAAGCGGCCUCCUAAACGAAUACUGACACUGAGGGUGCGAAAGCGUGGGGAGCAAACAGGGAUUAGAU
rnacentral:rRNA from 1 species